UACGAAGGGGGGCGAGCGUUUGUUCGGAUUUACUGGGCGUAAAGGGGCGCGCAGGCGGCUUUGUUUGUCAGGCGUGAAAGCCCCGGGCUUAACCUGGGAACUGCGUUUUGAUACGGCAGGGCUAGAGUUCGGGAGAGGAGAGUGGAAUUCCCAGUGUAGAGGUGAAAUUCGUAGAUAUUGGGGAAGAACACCGGUGGCCGAAGGCGGCUCUCUGGACCGUAACUGACG
rnacentral:rRNA from 1 species